UUUAAAAGGAAAUUUAUAUGUGUGUACCAGGCAACGAACACAACAAUGGCACUACUGUAUGUGGAAUAAGAAUGCAUAUGUGUAGAUUACAUUCAGAAGGUUGAGUGGUUGUUGUUCGCGUACCUAGGGCUCAAAUAACUAUCCCCCAAAGUGUCGUCUUAUUUUCUGUCAUAAGUGUUUCCAGCCUGCUACACACCCCAGGCCGAAACCACAAACUACAAGAUGGAUGAUCUCACAACAAUGGCACUACUGUAUUUGAAAUAAGAAUGCAUAUGUGUACAUUACAUUCAGAAGGUUGAGUGGUUGUUGUUCGCGUACCUAGGGUUCAAAGAACUAUCCCCAAAGUGUCGUCUUAUUUUCUGUCGUAAGUGUUUCCAGCCUGCUACACACCCCAGGCCGAAACCACAAACUACAAGAUGGAUAACCACGUGUAAAGUGUGCAUCAUGCUUUUUCAUUGCACAAUAUUUUUAUGUUUUCUUCCUUCCUUCUGUGCUAGAAUUAUUUUUGUUCUACUAAGCGAGGCAUGUAUUUAGUCUGUAAUUUUUAACACUUAAAUUACGUGGCUAUAUAUUUUAUUCCUGUUAACUCAGUAUUUUUAGGGUCUGUCAACUCCAUUUGUUUACUGUGUGGCCUAAAAAUUUAUAGGUAUCGUCAGCGUGUUGUAAUAUAUCUUGGUCUAUACUUAGGUAUAUAUUUUUAUGUUGGUGUACUGAUAUACGAAGGCAAAAAUGUAACCACUUAAGAAUGAAGGUUAA
rnacentral:lncRNA from 1 species